AUUUAGAAUUCCUCUCAGGAUUAUGGGGCAUGGGCAUGUCCAGGAUGUCCAGGAAAAGAGUAGAAAGAAUAAGACAGAAAGUCCCUAGCAGCUGGACCUCUAACUUACUAGUGUCUCUUAUGUAAUAGAAUGGAGUCCAUGCCUGCCAAAGAAUUUGUGAAACCAUCAAGGACAGAAUGUCUUGAUCACCCUUACCCAAAGUGAUCGGCAAAAUAUCUGAGAAUUACUGAAUCCUAACAAUUGCACCUGGUAGUCAACUUGGACACUCAUGUGGGCCUCCCCUCGUCCUGGGAAGGUAUCUGAAGUGUUAGAGUCAAGGUGCCCUCCCAACAUUGCUACCCAGGAACCAGGAAAGGAUACACUGAUGGAUAAGGAAAAAUACAGUUUCACUCAAAUGCAUCAGAGGCAUGUGAACCAGAGCAACUCCAUCUUGAAUGGACCUGGGUAAGAUGAGGCUGAGAUCUACUGGGCUCCAUUCCCAGAUGAUUAAGGCAUUCUAAGUCACAGGAUGAGAUAGGAGUUUGGCACAAAAUACAGGUCAUAAAGAUCUUGCUGAUAAAACAGUUUGCAGUAAAGAAGCCAGCUCUAACCCAUCAAAACCAGGAUGGCCAUAAGAGUGACCUCUGGUCAUCCUCACUACUCCCACCAGCGCUGUAACAGUUGACAAAUGUGAUGGCAACAUCAGGAAGUUACCUUAUAUCGACUAAAAAAGGGAAACAUGAAUAAUCCACCCCUUGUUUAGCAUAUCAUCAAGAAAUAACCAUAAAAAUGGUCAACCAGCUGCCCUAAGGGCUGCUCCUUCUAUGUAGUAGCCAUUCUUUUAUUCCUUCACUUUCUUAAUAAACUUGCUUUCACUUU
rnacentral:lncRNA from 1 species